CAGCCGCCGCGGUAAUACGAGGGGGGCAAGCGUUGUUCGGAAUUAUUGGGCGUAAAGGGCGCGUAGGCGGUUUGGCAAGUUUGGUGUGAAAUCCUCGGGCUCAACUCGAAGUCUGCACCGAAAACUGCCGGGCUUGAGUAUGGGAGAGGUGAGUGGAAUUUCCGGUGUAGCGGUGAAAUGCGUAGAUAUCGGAAGGAACACCUGUGGCGAAAGCGGUUCACUGGACCAUUACUGACGCUGAGGCGCGAAAGCUAGGGGAGCAAACAGGAUUAGAGACCCCGGUAGUCCCUGUCUCUUAUAC
rnacentral:rRNA from 1 species